rnacentral:rRNA from 1 species
UACGUAGGCAGCAAGCGUUGUUCGGAUUUACUGGGCGUAAAGGGUGUGUAGGCGGUUCUUUAAGUUUGGUGUGAAAUCUCCCGGCUCAACUGGGAGGGUGCGCCGAAUACUGAGGGACUCGAGUGCGGGAGAGGAAAGUGGAAUUCCUGGUGUAGCGGUGAAAUGCGUAGAUAUCAGGAGGAACACCGGUGGUGUAGACGGCUUUCUGGACCGUAACUGACGCUGAGACACGAAAGCGUGGGUAGCAAACAGG